GAUGAACGCUGACAGAAUGCUUAACACAUCAGCAAUUGAUUGGUGGCGGACGGGUGAGUAACGCGUAAGAACUUGCCUCCCAGCUAGGGACCACAUUUGGAAAAGGAAGCUAAUACCUAAUUCUGUGAGAGGGCUUUGCGUCCCAUUAGCUAGUUGGAGAGGUAACGGCUCAACAAGGCGAUGAUGGGUAGCCGGCCUGAGAGGGUGAUCGGCCACAAGGGGACUGAGACACGGCCCUUACUCCUACGGGAGGCAGCAGUGGGGAAUAUUGGACAAUGGACCAAAGUCUGAUCCAGCAAUUCUGUGUGCACGAUGAAGUUUUCGGAAUGUAAAGUGCUUUCAGUUGGGAAGCGGUACCAACAGAAGAAGUGACGGCUAAAUACGUGCCAACAGCCGCGGUAAUAC
rnacentral:rRNA from 1 species